AAAGUCGUAACAAGGUUUCCGUAGGUGAACCUGCGGAAGGAUCAUUAUCGAGUUAGGGUCCUCGCGGCCCGACCUCCAACCCUAUGUUUAAUCACCACGUUGCUUUGGCGGGCCCGCUUCGUCGCCGCCGGAGGCCCUCGCGUCUCUGGCCAGCGCCCGCCAACGGCCCCAUCACAAACUCUGGACAAUGCCGUGACGUUCUUAGUUAAAGAAAUAACAGUGAAAAACUUUCAACAACGGAUCUCUUGGUUCUG
rnacentral:misc_RNA from 1 species